GUGCAGCAGGCGCGAAACUUUACAAUGUGCGAAAGCACGAUAAGGGAACUCUGAGUGCCUCCUAAGGAGGCUGUUCAGGUGUCUAAAAGCACCUGAAGGAAGGGCUGGGUAAGACCGGUGCCAGCCGCCGCGGUAACACCGGCAGCCCAAGUGGUAGCCACGUUUAUUGGGUCUAAAGCGUCGUAGCCGGCUGGGUAAGUUCCUUGGGAAAUUUGGCUGCUUAACAGUCAAGCUUUCAGGGAAUACUGCUCGGCUUGGGGACCGGGAGAGGUCAGAGGUACUCCAGGGGUAGGGUGAAAUCCAUUAAAUCCUUGGGGGACCACCGGUAGCGAAGGCGUCUGACCAGACCGGGUCCGACGGUGAGGGACGAAGGCUAGGGGCGCGAACCGGAUUAGAUACCUGCGUAGU
rnacentral:rRNA from 1 species